UCACUUCUACAAAAUCAAACACAGCACAAUCAAAUAAGCCCUACUAGUCGGUAGCCGUCGCAAGCGCUUUAAUACCGGUAUCGCCGCCGCCACCAUUCAGUCCACUCUCAGGCGUCCGUCUCAACUCACCGUUUGCGUCCGUGUCAUCAGAAUUUAGCUAUGGUGGGGCUCUCGCUAGGGGAGCAAACAUUUAUAAAAGGUGGGAUUGAUCAGGAUUUACGUACUGAUGGUAGGAAACGACUAACGUACCGACCCAUUUUUGUUGAAACUGGUAUCAUUCCUCAGGCAAGUGGCUCAGCAAGAGUGAAGCUGGGGGCAACAGAUGUUAUUGCCAGUGUAAAGGCUGAGCUUGGAAGGCCAAAUCCAUCGUAUCCCGACAAGGGAAAAGUUUCCAUACAUGUUGACUGCAGUCCGACUGCUGAACCAUCUUUUGAGGGCAGAGGGGGUGAAGAAUUAUCCACAGAGCUCUGUUCAGCACUUGAAAGGUGUUUGUUGGGUGGUAAAAGUGGUGCAGGUGCUGGAAUUGAUCUGUCAUCUCUGUGCAUUGUUCGGGGGAAGGUCUGUUGGGAUCUCUACAUUGAUGGUCUUGUUGUUAGUUCAGAUGGCAAUGUGCUGGAUGCUUUGGGCGCUGCCGUUAAGGCUGCUCUAAGCAAUACAGCUAUUCCAAAAGUUCAAGUUUCUGCCAACGCCCCCUCUGAUGAGCAGCCGGAGGUUGAUGUGAGCGAUGAGGAGUUUCUACAAUUUGACACGUCGGGGGUCCCUGUUAUAGUCACUUUAACAAAGGUUGGGCGACAUUAUAUUGCAGAUGCAACCACGGAAGAGGAAUCCCAGAUGAGUUCAGCUGUGUCGGUCUCAAUCAACAGGCAAGGCCGGAUUUGUGGUCUGACAAAAAGAGGGGGCGCCGGCCUUCAUCCAACUGUUAUACUCGAUAUGAUAUCGGCUGCUAAACAUGUAAGUGAGCAGUUGAUGAACAAAUUGGAUUCAGAAAUAGCUGCGGCUGAGGCUUGCGAUGAGAUGGAAUCUUAAUCUCACUAUGUCGGUUGUUGUUUCUUGUUUCUAUACUGACAUGACAUGAAGCAUUUCUGUGAGUUUCGUUCACAUCUUUGAGUGAAGGCGGCUCAGGCUAGCUUGGAUCGAUCCAUGUGGUUCAUCCAUAGGCCAAAUGAUCGAGUACAGGCAAUGCCUCAAGGAAAUUCAAGAAGCGGGACUCUCCAUUACAAUGCAGGGAUGGUGGCAUCAUUAUGAGUGUGUUGGUCAGUAUACAAGAAAAUUGGUAACCUGGCA